rnacentral:ncRNA from 1 species
CGGCCUGAGGUCGGACGAGGCUACCCGCUGAAUUUAAGCAUAUUACUAAGCGGAGGAAAAGAAACUAACGAGGAUUCCCUCAGUAACGGCGGAGUGAAGCGGGACGAGCCCAGCGCCGAAUCCGGCCGCUUAUGGAGCGGACGGAAUUGUGGCGUAUGGAAUUCGCUUCGAGCGCGGACCGGCUGCCCACGUCCUUCUGAUCGAGGCUUCAUCCCAUAGC